GCAGCUGUGGUAUAGUCUGGUUAUUAUUCUGGCCUUCCAAGCCAGCGACCCGGGUUCGAAUCCCGGCAGCUGCA
rnacentral:tRNA from 1 species